rnacentral:rRNA from 1 species
CUUGUAGGUGGUGGAUCAAGUCGGAUGUGAAAUCUCCGGGCUUAACCCGGAAAUUGCAUUCGAAACUGAUCCGCUAGAGUACCGGAGAGGGAAACGGAAUUCCUGGUGUAGGGGUGAAAUCUGUAGAUAUCAGGAAGAACACCGGUGGCGAAGGCGGUUUCCUGGCCGGAUACUGACACUGAGGAGCGAAAGCUAGGGGAGCAAACAGGAUUAGAUACCCUGGUAGUCC